rnacentral:lncRNA from 1 species
CUGGGAGCCUCGUCUGCGGGCGCUUUUUUAACGUCGCAAGUUUUUUUUUUCUUUUUAAUACACCUAUUCAUUUAGCUGUCAAGGAAUUUACUUGUUUUGACUUUUGUUAUUAGUACAGAGGGGGAGAAAUACCUUCACCGUUUACGAGAGUGUAUAAAAUAAAACCAUUAAAAAUGAAUUGCCUACCUUUUCGAUGCUUCAAUCAAUGCUAUCUCACUGAGGACCUUGCUUGAUAGAAAGCUGCCCUAAAGUAGAGAGAAGAGGUGGAUUUUUAUCCAGCUUGACUUUGAAGAGGUGAACUGCAUUACUGGAUCAUGCAAGUACUGAUACCUGGCUUAGUGCAAAAUCAGUUAAGUUAAUGGAAAGCACCUUCAGCAGUAUUCCAUCACUGCACCACUGAUGAAUGGAUACCCACAAGACAGGGAGAAGUUAUCUCAGCAUGUGGAAUAGCAAGGGAUGGUUGCUGUACAUAUUCUUAAAGGACGAAAAAGGGCUGAAGAGAGAGC